rnacentral:lncRNA from 1 species
UUGAACUCUUAGGGUUUCAGGGUAGACAUGGCCAUGUAUGGGGGUCGUGUGGUUCGCCGAAAAAAGCCAGUUUUAUUAGAAAAAAGAAACUAUAGUUCAAUUAUGUUCAGGAAAAAGGAUUAAAUAGUUAGACUUUCCAAAUUUUAAAGGGUUGAUUGGGUAAUUAUUCCUUCUUGCCGAAAAAGAAAAUAGGAAAGAAAAGUGACGUGACUUAAGCCUAAGUUACAAGGGAAGAAUGGGGAGAUGCUUAACCAAUUGAAUUACUACCCACGCUUAUUUAUUUUUACAGUAAAUAAUAUAUAUUCUAGUACGAUUUUGCUGCUUAGUUGCUGAAAAAAAAAAAAAAGGAACUAGCAUAGCUUGAACCUUGGGUUUUUAAGCAAACACACUAACUACAUAACCAUAAAGACUAACCCAUUUCUUAAUAAUUUAUUUUAUCAAUUAUAUUUACUUAUAUAUAUUUAAAAAUUAUGAAUUUUGAUAUUUUUUAGAAACAUUUUAAGUGCAAAUUUUGUAGUGGAUUAAACCCUAAAAUAACUUAACCCUAAUUAGUGUCAAGAUUCACCCGAAAACAACACACUUUAAUAAAUAAUAAUAAAAAAGUUAUAAUUGAUAAAUGCUUAUGCGGAUAGUCUGCCCAUAAAUUAUGACUUUUUUAUCUUAUAUUUGCUACUUAAUUAAUUUUUUGAUUAAGAUUAAUAAUUAAUUUUUUUCUAUCUUGGUAUCUCUAUUAGUCAACUCUUAGUUAAUGAUGGUGAACAAUAAUAUAGCUCCAUCGCAUGAUGACAUGAGGCAUAAAACUACAUAAGCACUGCCGUGUAAUUAUUUAUACCAUAUAAUUCUUAAAAAAUCAAAAUAACUAGAAAGAGAAAAUUAGAAAUUUAAAAUUAAAAAAUUAAAAUUAUAUAAAAAUUUAUUUUUUUAAUUUUAAAAUAUAAAAUUAUAUAAAAUAAAAAUAUAUAAAUUUUACUUAAUAUUUUAUUUUACUUAUAAAUUUUCUAAUUUUAAAAAAUUUUAUUUUGAAUAUUAUACAUUUUCCAUUUUGAAUAUUUUUAUGUAAUUUUUAAUUUUUUUAUAUUUUAUAAAUAUAUAUAUAUAUGAAAUUGUUUGAUAUAAAUAAUUAUGCUUAUGCGGCCUUUUCCUGUCAUGCAACAAUUUUUAAUUAGUUGAAUGUUUAACAAUCUAACAAUUAGAAUAAUUUAGAUAACCAAAAAAAUUGGCACUAAAAUAGAAAAUACGGCAAAAUUAAUUGCUAAAGUAAUAUAUUGUAGGGAAAUGAUUAAAUUAAUCUCUUUAUUAUUAAAAAUAUUAUUCUAAUCAGUAUUGAAAAGAAUAAAAUAAUAUCAAUGGUGUGUUUGUUUCACGGAAAAUGACUUACAUGAAAUAUUUUCUACAUUUUCCUGUAGUUUGUUUUUCAUUGAAAACAAUUUGGUUAAUGAGAAAUGACUUAAAAAUUAAUGGAAAAUAAAUCCUUUUUUCAUGUAAAUUAACUUAUCAUUUUAAAAAGUAUAAGUCAUUUUCUAAAAAUUAAUUUGAAUCAAGUCUAAUAUUAUUAUAUUAAUAAUAAUUUUUUAUUUUCUAAAACUAUUUAAAUAAAUUAAAAUAUUAAUAUCAAAUAUUAUAAUGAUUAUUAUUAAACAUACAUAUUUAAUUAUUUAUAUUUAAUAAUAUAAUAAAUUAUUGAUAUAAUUUAUUAUUUAAUUAUAUUAUUCAAUAUUACAAAUUUCUUUUAAUAAUGAAUUUUAACCAUAAUAAUUUUAAAUUUUAAAUAAUAUUAUUAAUAUAUUUUUGGAAACUAUUUAUUUUAAUAUUUUAAGGCUUAAUGGUAUUAUAAACCUUCAAAAUUUUUCACAAAAAUCGUUUAAGCUCCUCCAAACUUUGUGCUCCCAAUCGAACCCUAAACUAACAAAACUAGCCUAAUGGAUUAUUUUACUAAUGUUGAUUGUUAGCAUUUAACAGUGGGAUUGAUGUGGCUUUUAACAGUGCCAACUUAGCCAAAUGUUGUUGACGUGGUAUGCCACUAUGUUGGCAAAAUAUAAAAUAAAAUAUUUAUUUUUUAUUUUCUUUUAGUUAAUGUCUUUAAUAUUUUUAUUUACUUUUUAUAUAUUUUUCUCCUCACUUUUCCUCAUCAUCUUCUUUUCUCCCCAAAUGAAACCCUAGUCGCCUUGCACUGUCGUCGUAGUCAGUGCUCCAUUCAUGCCGCCAAUACCAUUGUAAUAAGCUCCACCGUCUUAUCUUCACUUCUCUCGGGUUAAAUUUUUGCAAACCCAAACCAAGCCUUCGAAAACUCCAACAAAUGCUUGAAGCAAACAACCCCAAUUCGCCACUAUCUGCUGUUACUUCGGCCUCAUUCUCUGGUAUGUUGCUCCCCUCUACCUCUUCAGACUCCCCUUGUUCGAAUCUUCAAGAGGUGAACUUGAACCUUGAAAAUCAAGGAGCCCAAAGAUAAGCUUCUUCUCUCUUUUUCUAUUUUAUUUUCUGAUUUGGGUUGAUUUUUUUUAGAUUCCAACUAAAGGCUCUAAACUUCUCCUCUCUUUUUGUUGUGGUUUAUUGUUGUUAAUGGGUAACGAAUGGAAAUAGAUUGCUUGCAUAUAUAAUUCUAAGUUUGUUUUUUUUUCCUUUUCUAAUUUCAAUUCCAAAGAAUUUUCAUUUGAGAAAUCUUGAGGGUAUCUGAUUAUUGUAAAUAUAAGAAACCAAGUACUACAAAGGAAUCUUGUAUAUUUGUAGUCAUUUAGAUUGAGAUUUUUGUAUAGAUUUAGGGAUAUGUCUAAAGUAGAGAUAUUGGAGAUGACUAGUUUUCAAGAGAAAUUGGAGAUAGAAAAAUUGAUCGAACAAUGGAUCUAAGGGAGAAGAAGAAGAUGAUGAUGAUGAAUGAAGUCAUAGAAAUCUAGCGGAGAAGAAUUAUAAUGGCCUAAUUUUCAGUGGUACAAAAAAUGCAGUUUCGGAACCCCAUUUACUUAAAUUGAGCCUGUGUAUAUAAAAUAGAAAUAUUUAUGGAGUUAAUAUGAGAAUAUACUAAAGAAUGGUCAAGUAAUUUGGCCGAUAAGUCGUUAAUUAAAAAUUAGGAACUAAAUUGUAAAAUUUCAAUCACUAUCGAGUUUUAAUUAAAAAAGGCUUGAGAACCUAGAUUACAAUUAACCAAAGGGUCAAAAUGGUUAUUAAACCGUUUCCAUUACGAGAUAGUGGACAUUGAUGAUGUUUUCCACUUAGAUUAUUUAAUAAUAAAAUUAACAUUAUUAAGGUUUAGUUAAGUUAAUUAAAUUAGAUUAAUCAGAUCUUAAUUAAUACAUAUGUGUGUUGGUUUGUGAAAGGAAAGAUGAAAACAUUAUCAUCUUCUCCAUUUGCCACUGUCCUCCAUUGAAGAAAAAGGGAGAAAACCUUAAGCUUAAGCUAAACAUUCAACCACCACAUUGGUAAGAAAACUAAGCCUUUUUCAUGUAAUUUUUAUAGAUUUAUGAUCAUGAGAGCUUGAUUUAGCUAACCUAUGUAUCAAUUUUUUCAAUUGUUAAGUUUUUAGCAAGUUAUCAUUAUUGAUAAAUUGAUGAAUUAGGCUUGAAUUUGAUAAUUAUUAAGCUUAGAUCAUGAUAGGGACUAAAUUUUAAAAUUAAAUAAACUAGUUUGUUAGCUCCAUAACAUUAGGGACUAAAUUGAAUAAAUAAAAAACUUGUCAUAAAUUUAUGAUAGAAAUAUAAAGUAUAAAGUCCCUAAUGAAAGAAUAUAAAAUCGGAUUUUGAUCCAAAGUUAGGAAUCGAAAAAUAUGAUUAUCUCGAGUUUAGGGAAUAAAUUGAAUAAAAAGAAAAAUAUGUGUAUUUAAAAAGGGAUUAAUUAGGAUCAUGCAUCUAAAGGCGUUGUUGUUGUGAGUCAUUGAAAAGUCAUUGUGUGUUAAUAUAUGAUAUUGAUUUGAUAUUUAUAUAUAUUUGCAUAGAACAAGAAUUGGAUAAAAGUGGAGCAUGUAGAGGAAAGGCUAAAAUUGUGGAAUAGUCCUUCGAAAAUCUACUCAUUUUGUGUUUUGAAAGGUAAGUUCUUAUAGAACUUACUACCCUUCCUUAUUAAAUAGGUAUGGUUGCGUUUAUUUUCAUUUAUUAUUUAUAUUUGAACUUAUGUUAAGGUUUUGGUGGAAAUUGGCAUAGUUGGCUAGUAACAUAAAUGAAUUAAGUUGAAUUGUGAUAAGUGAAUGAUGUUAUAUUUAGUGGUUGGUAACUAGAAGAAUGACAAGAGAACUUAAAUGCAUCAUUAAUUGUAUGUGUGAUUCAUGUUCAAACUUGAUCAAUGAAUUCGGAAAUUGAUAUGGGAUGUUUACAACUUAUGUUUAUGCAAAUAUGGAUAAUUGAUGCUCAUGUGAACUUAGUAAAAGGCUAGGAUACAAUUUUCAUUUCAAUAGGGUCAUAUGUGCUUGUGUACGAGUUACUUGACAAUAUGAAGAAUAUGAUAUUUAUUUUGAGAUUCAGCAUUUGUUGCGGGUAAUCGAAUAUUCACUAUCUCUUCAGAGACCUUGGUGUGGUGGAGGGAUGUAUUUGAAUACAUAUAUACAUUUGAUGCCUACAGGCUUUGCACUCUAGUGCUUUGGUGUAGUGUAGUUCACUCGCGUGUCCGAGUCUGUUUUACUACAGUUCCAUUGGGCGAAAUGUUAAAACUGAACUUUGAAAUAGGAAAAUGAAAAUGAACCGGAUUUAAUAAUUUAUUAAGAUAUGUGGUUAAAAUUUUAUUCGCAUUGACUAAUAGAUUAAUGCAAGUACAUGAAAUGAUGAUGAUCUUAUAUGAUUUGGUAUAGUUUGAUGAUUGUUUUGGUCAUGUUAUAAUGUUUGACAUAUAUGAAUACUUAUGUUUCCUAUGUUCACUUUGUUGUGACAAUAUAUGCCAUGUUCUAGCUAGAUGUAUGCCAAAUCUUUUGGUAUUGAACAUGCUCACCUAUGAUCAAGGCACGUGUUUUAAAAUCCAUUCGAACUUACUAAUCAAUAAAUGCUUACCUAUUGUUGUUUUCCUUACGUGUAGAUCCCUAAAUUGUGGAACUCUCAAAGUCGGAUCAGUGCGAGUAUCACAUUAUCAUCAAGUCGGGAAAAGUAUGUUCAUUUUGGAACCUAUAAUUGUGGCAUGUAUAUAGGGUCCCUUGUUAUUUAAAUGGUUGUCUAUAAUGUAAAUGCUAAUGGUUGGAUUUGUGUAUUAAGGUUGGGAAAUAGCCUAGUUAUGCCUAGUCUUUUAUCAUGAGUUUUGUGCCAUUUGAACACUUGAUUUCAAAAGUUUCAUAAGCUUUAUUUGGCAUAGGUUGGCAUGAUAUGAUGUCUUGAUGAAUGUGGAAUGAGCAUAUAUAUAUUGAAAUGUUUUUGGUAGGAAGUAUUGAAUAUGUUUCAAAGUGAUUUUUACCAAAACAAAGGGUAAUGUUGUGAUGACAAGUUCCCAACGUCACGACUUAAAUCAACAGUAAGUGACGUCACAACCUUGAGUUUUCUAAAGUUUCGACUAAACUCAUUCAUUGAUGAGGUAGCCAUGGUGUCGCGAUGUCAGCUCAUGUGUAACAGCCCAAUUUAGACCCUAGUCGGAACGGUGGUUUCGGGAUCACGAAUUCGAGUUAGAAAAAUAUUUUAAAAUUAUUUUCUGUGUUUAUUUUGUGUGAAUUUAUAUCUGUGAAAUUUUCGUGAUUUAAUUUUAUCGUUUGAGUGCCUGAUUAAAUAAAAGGACUUAGUUGCGUAAAAUAAAAAUUUAAUGGUUAUUUGUAUAAAGGGCCGAAAUGCUAUUGGCUUUUUAAAUGGAAGCCUUUAAGUUGCAAUUAGACCAUAGUUGCAUGUGAUGGACGGUAAUGACCUUAGAAAUAUGUGUUAUGUUUAUUUAUUUUUAAAGGGUAAAGUUGUAAAAUGGUUAAAAACAUAUGUAAUAAUAAAACAUAAAGAAAUUAUAAUAUGGCUUCAUAAUUUUGUUCAUCCACUGAAACUAAAACAAAAGAAAAGAGAAAAGAAGGUUAGGGUUGAUGGACGGUAAUGACCUUAGAAAUAUGUGUUAUGUUUAUUUAUUUUUAAAGGGUAAAGUUGUAAAAUGGUUAAAAACAUAUGUAAUAAUAAAACAUAAAGAAAUUAUAAUAUGGCUUCAUAAUUUUGUUCAUCCACUGAAACUAAAACAAAAGAAAAGAGAAAAGAAGGUUAGGGUUUGGCACUUACUCAAGCUCAAUCAAGGUUCGUUUUUGUUUGGUUUUUGAUAAUUUUUACGUUUUUGAGAUCGUUGCUUCGAGUACUAUAAAAUCCAUGCUUGAAUUUUUUAUUUUGGUGAAUAUUUUGAGUUAUGUCAUUGUUGAGAGCUUGUGAUUUUUGUUGUUUGAUUAUGAAAUAUGAAAAAUAUGUUUUAGAUUAACAUGUUUUGUAUUAGAGUUUUUGAUGAUUUUGAGUAAUUAGGACUAAAUUGCAAAAAUAACAAUUUGAGGGACUAAAAUGUGAAACAAACGAAAUAUAUGGAUUUGUAUGGGUAUGGGUAAAAUUCGGCCCAACAUGGGUAUAUUGAAAUUUUGUAUAUUUUGUGUUUUGUGCAAUAGGGACUAAAUUGUAAAAAGUGUAAAUGUCAGGGGUAAAAUGGUAAUUUGUCCAUUUAUGUGUUUUUGGACUAAAUUGAAUGAAAAUAUGUUUGAAUGAGCUUAAUUUGAUUAUGUUUAGAUCAAGAACCAAAUAAAUCGGAUUUGGAUCGGGGGAAAGCGAAAGUUAUCAACUAGCUGUUCCAUUCCGUUAUACAUAGCCCGAGGUAAGUUUAUAAGCAAAUAGCCGUACUCAAUUUUAAAUAAAUGCAAAGUAUAUAUGCUGAAUUUAUAUGUAUGAAUUAUUAUAUGCUAUAGCCGAAUGUGAAUAAGCUUGAUUACUAUGUUUCUGAAUUCGUUUCGACUGAAUUACAACGUCCGAAAGCCCCGUAUGAACCUUAGGAAUAGUUAGGAUACAUAUGUCAUGACAUAGGAUUCCGAUUUAUGUAUGCGAGUGAGACCAUGGCAUCGAUAUGUGAUUCUGAUAUAUGUGUGCGAGUAAAACCCUGUCUGGGACAGUAGCAUCGAUAUGUGAUUACAUGUAAGACCACGUCUGGGACGUUGGCAUUGUACGAUUUAUGUGUGAUCAUUUGAGUGUCCUAUCCAAUUCCGAAUGGUUCAUCGAGCAAAGACAAGUUGUGUUUGAAUGUGUAAGAUAAGCUAAAUGGCCAGGUAUGAAUUUGCUUGUUGUUUAUUUAAAAUAAGGUAAGUGGGUAAUUUGGUACUUAUUUCAAAUUAUGCAUAAUGCAAUUAAAGGUUACAUGUGAAUUUGGUAAGUGUACUUGGCCUUUUGAAUAGGAUUAAAAUGAGUUUAAAUUAUACCUAUGUAUGAAUACAUGUAUUCUGCAAAUAACUAAAAUGCAUAUAAAAUUAUAUGAUGACACAUGAGUUUGUGUAUUUGUGUGUAUGUGAACUAGGUUGAUAUUAAUUAUUUGGCUUUGGAAUUUAAUUGAUAAUAUGUUAACAUGGCUAUAUAAGCAUUCGGUUAAAGUGACAAAUAUGAAUGAAGAUAUAUAUAAUAUAGAUUUUAUAUGUUCAAAUAUAAAUGUUUUAUAAUAAUGUGCUUUGGCUUAGUUUAAUUAAAUUGAUGAUAUUUUUGGGUUGUUCAUCUGCUUAUGACUUACUAAGCUAUAAAUAGUUUACUUUAUGUAUAUGUGUGUUUCUAUUUUAUAGAUUUUGGAGUCAAGCUACGAGCUCGGGGACUGUCAGCAAAGUUUCAUCACACUAUCAACUAUAUUGGUACCUUCAUAAGUUAAACUCGGAUUAUGGCAUGUAUAGGCUGAACUAUGCUUGAGAUGUUGAAUUUUUGUUGUGAAUAAUUAAAGCCAUGCGAAAAUGGCUUACUUCUAAGUUUAGUUUUUGAUUAUGUUCGAUUAUGGUUUAAAUUGUUUUUGGUGAUGAUGCUAUGAGUUAUGAAUGAAUGGCAUAGGUGAUAAAUGUUAUACAUUAUGGAAAUGGUUGGAUAGUGACGUGAGUUAGGGUAUUACAGUUGGUUAAUGACUUUGGAAGUGAAAUGAAUGAAUUGGCUAAAUAUGUUUGUUUGGUUAGGAUGUGUUUUAUACUAAGAUAUAGUAUACAUGUGAAUUUGCUUAUUAUGCUUAGUUUUGAUCUAAUAAGUUCUUAGCUAUGAUACCUAAUGAGUAUAGUUUUGAUAAUUUGGUGAUGGUAACUUUGGUUGUGUAAGUGGUUUGAAAUAACAUGAUUCGGUAUUACAGAUUGGCUGAUCAUGUCCGAAUAUGAUAUACCUUUGUCUUAAUAUGUUUAUUAUUAUGAUAUAGGAAAAUUCAUGUUACUAAUAUAUUUAUAUAAAUUAUUUAAAUGACUAUGAUUGUAGAAAUGAUAUUCGGUUAUGAGAUGGGAGAUAUGAAUAUUAUUUUUGAGCUACCUAGGGUUUGGCAUUUGUGAUUAUACAUGUAAUGAAGUGGUUUGAUGUAUUAUUUGAAUUAAAUGUUUAUAAGAUAAAACGAUUUAGAAUAUAGGGAUUGGGAGUUUGGUUGUAGUUUAUAUUCAUUGACAAGUAUGAACUAUAUAUAUGUAUAUAUAUAUUUAGUCAUAUGUAUUUGGUUACUAUGAUAAAACAUUCAUUUAAGUCAUAAAGGUUAGUUUUAUAAAUGAACUAUUACAUGGUAUUAGCAUGCAUAAAUGUUCGGCAAAAUUAUGUGACUUAUGUGGUUGUUUUCUUUGAAAUUAGAUAUUCGAUACUAAUUGGGUUAGUCAUUCUGCAAAUAUUUAUUAAGAUAUUUGUUUGUAUAAUGUGUUGACAUGUGAAUUUAAGUAUAAAUUCAAUUGAUAUUAGAUAAUAAAAUGAUGCUUGAGUUUGGGUUGAGUAAUGAUAUCAUUAGCAGUUAAUUUGGAAAGUCAGUGUAUACUCAUGUAUUUAUAAUAGUUGAAUAAUCAUUUAAGUUUAUAUCAUAUCCUUGUUAAAGUCUGUAAAUGCUUUAAUAUUUGAAUGUUAUAAUUCAUUUUAUUUCAUGUGAAUGAUAUGACUGUAUGUAUAUGUAUGAUAUGAAAUGCUUCAAAUUUAAGUGCUAUGUUAGUUCAUGAAAUAAAUUUUGACUGAUUCUCGAGACUCGUUCAUGUGUAUAUAUCAAUAUUUGGAAUUGUGCUUUUGAUAGGUAAUGCCUCAUAAUCUUAAUUCGGCGACAGAUACGGGUUAGGGGUGUUACAUCGUGAGUUUCGAAAACUUGUCAAUGAAGUCAUUAACUGACUUCGAGUUAGCAAAAGACCUUUUUUAAGCUCGUACAAAACUCUAAAAUGAUUAUAAAACAUAUAGAAAAUGUGUUUUAUACUUUUAAGAAUGUUGGAAUGGUUAAAUCGUAUAAGAAUUAGUUGUAGUUGCUUCGACAACAAAUGUGGCAUUUUGUAGCUCAAAUCCAAAAAUCAGGUUGGGUAAAGUUGUUACAAGGAGGAGAAAGAAAGAAUAGAAAAAAAUAAGGAGAAUUAAAGAAAAAAGAAGGAAGAAAUGGGAAAGAAAAAAAUUUAAAUUGCUUAUGUAGCAAUGUCAUGUGGGAAACAAAUGUGGCAUGCUGAUGUAGCAAUGUCACAUCGAUAAUGUUUGGCCAAUUUGUAACACCCAUUAGCUGGGUUAAUUUGAUAACCCGAGCAAAGGAUGUUAUAUUUGGACUCCGAGUCAAUUUAAUUCAAAUUUCAUUUAUAUACUUUAUCAUUGUCAUUUUAAACUCUUUUAAGGUAUCUCAAGUCAUUUCUGGGCAUCCAUUACAGUUUGGUUGCGAUUUGAGGUCGUUCGGGCCUUUUUUGAGUCAAAUUGAACAUGCACGGGGUAAAACAUGGCACUUGUAUUGCUACUCACUAUUCCAAGAAUCAGUACAUUUUCUCUAUAACUAAUCAUUUUUGCUCUCUAGAGUACUUGUAUCGAUAACAAGUACCAAUACUUCAAUUGCAGAGGACUCUAAAUCAUGCCUAAAAGACUUUUGUUUCAUGUCGAUUUAAAUACCAAACAUUCUCAAACAUAUAUCAAUCAUUUUAAACCAUCAAACGCUUUAAAAUAUCAUAUAAUUCAUCAUAUGCUCAUUGCAUAAUUUAAAUGAUUUCACUAGGCUAUCAAAACAUUUAAGUUUCUCUAAAUACUUUCACUCGCAUUUAUUGUAAUAGCCCAUUACCCAUCCCAAUCGUUGGGUUCGAGUUCAAGGUGUCACAUUCGUUUUCAAAAUAAUUAUGAUC